rnacentral:rRNA from 1 species
CCUACGGGAGGCAGCAGUGAGGAAUAUUGGUCAAUGGGCUUACGCCUGAACCAGCCAAGUCGCGUGAGGGAAGACUGCCCUAUGGGUUGUAAACCUCUUUUGUCAGGGAGCAACGCCGGCUACGUGUAGCCGGACUGAGAGUACCUGAAGAAAAAGCAUCGGCGAACGCCGUGCCAGCAGCCGCGGUAAUACGGAGGAUGCGAGCGUUAUCCGGAUUUAUUGGGUUUAAAGGGUGCGUGGGCGGAAUGCCAAGUCAGCGGGAAAAUCGCGGGGCCCAGCCUCGCUCCGCCAUUGAAACUGGCGUUCUUGAGUGGGCGAGAAGUAUGCGGAAUGCGUGGUGUAGCGGUGAAAUGCAUAGAUAUCACGCAGAACUCCGAUUGCGAAGGCAGCAUACCGGCGCCCAACUGACGCUGAAGCACGAAAGCGUGGGUAUCGAACAGGAUUAGAUACCCGGGUAGUC